UACGGGGGGGCAAGCGUUGUUCGGAAUUACUGGGCGUAAAGGGCGCGUAGGCGGUGCUCUAAGUUAGAUGUGAAAACUCUGGGCUCAACCCAGAGCCUGCAUCUAAAACUGGAGUGCUAGAGUUCUGGAGGGGGUAGCGGAAUUCCUGGUGUGGCGGUGAAAUGCGUAGAUAUCAGGAGGAACACCGGUGGCGAAGGCGGCUACCUGGACAGAAACUGACGCUGAGGCGCGAAAGCUAGGGGAGCAAACAGG
rnacentral:rRNA from 1 species